rnacentral:rRNA from 1 species
CCAGACUCCUACGGGAGGCAGCAGUGGGGAAUAUUGCACAAUGGGGGAAACCCUGAUGCAGCAACGCCGCGUGAGUGAGGAAGUAUUUCGGUAUGUAAAGCUCUAUCAGCAGGGAAUAGAAAAGAAGGUACCUGAAAAAGAAGCCCCGGCUAACUACGUGCCAGCAGCCGCGGUAAUACGUAGGGGGCAAGCGUUAUCCGGAUUUACUGGGUGUAAAGGGGGCGCAGACGGCAGCGCAAGCCAGGAGUGAAAGCCCGGGGCCCAACCCCGGGACUGCUCUUGGAACUGCGCGGCUGGAGUGCAGGAGGGGCAGGCGGAAUUCCUGGUGUAGCGGUGAAAUGCGUAGAUAUCAGGAGGAACACCGGCGGCGAAGGCGGCCUGCUGGACCGCUACUGACGUUGAGGCUCGAAAGCGUGGGGAGCGAACAGGAUUAGAUACCCCUGUA